UACGGCGAAACUGCGAAUGGCUCAUUACACAAGUUAUCGUUUAUUUGAUAGCACCUUACUACUUGGAUACCCGUGGUAAUUCUAGAGCUAAUACAUGCUGAAAAUCCCGACUCCGGAAGGGAUGUGUUUAUUAGAUUAAAAGCCAAUGCCCCCUGGGCUCUCUGGUGAUUCAUGAUAACCUCUCGAAUCGCAUGGCCUUGCGCCGGCGAUGGUUCAUUCAAAUUUCUUCCCUAUCAACUUUCGAUGUUUGGGUAGUGGCCAAACAUGGUUGCAACGGGUAACGGAGGGUUAGGGCUCGACCCCGGAGAAGGAGCCUGAGAAACGGCUACUACAUCCAAGGAAGGCAGCAGGCGCGCAAAUUACCCAAUCCCGACGCGGGGAGGUAGUGACAAUAAAUACUGAUACAGGGCUCUUUUGGGUCUUGUAAUUGGAAUGAGUACAAUUUAAAUCCCUUAACGAGGAACAAUUGGAGGGCAAGUCUGGUGCCAGCAGCCGCGGUAAUUCCAGCUCCAAUAGCGUAUAUUAAAGUUGUUGUGGUUAAAAAGCUCGUAGUUGAACCUUGGGCCUGGCUGGCCGGUCCGCCUCACCGCGUGCACUGGUCCGGCCGGGCCUUUCCCCCUGCGGAACCCCAUGCCCUUCGCUGGGCGUGGCGGGGAAACAGGACUUUUACUUUGAAAAAAUUAGAGUGCUCCAGGCAGGCCUAUGCUCGAAUACAUUAGCAUGGAAUAAUGAAAUAGGACGCGCGGUUCUAUUUUGUUGGUUUCUAGGACCGCCGUAAUGAUUAAUAGGGACAGUCGGGGGCAUCAGUAUUCAGUUGUCAGAGGUGAAAUUCUUGGAUCUACUGAAGACUAACUACUG
rnacentral:rRNA from 1 species